rnacentral:rRNA from 1 species
GUGUCAGCCGCCGCGGUAAUACGGAGGGUGCAAGCAUUAAUCGGAUUUAUUGGGCGUAAAGGGCGCGUAGGCGGAGAUGCAAGUCAGAUGUGAAAUCCUGGGGCUCAACCUCAGAACUGCAUUUGAAACUGCAUCCCUAGAGGGUAGAAGGAGAAAACGGAAUUCCACAAGUAGCGGUGAAAUGCGUAGAUAUGUGGAAGAACACCGGUGGCGAAGGCGGUUUUCUAUUUUAUACCUGACGCUGAUGCGCGAAAGCAAGGGGAUCAAACAGGAUUAGAUACCCUGGUAGUCCUUGCCGUAAACUAUGUAUACUUGGUGUAGCCGGACUCAACCCUGGCUGUGCCGAAGCUAACGCGUUAAGUAUACCGCCUGGGGAGUACAGUCGCAAGGCUGAA